AUCUCUUACCCCUCCCCUCCCGCCCCUCAACCCUCCCCGGCCUUCCCGAUAGAUUUUUUUAAGCUAGGAGUUGGAAUAGGAGCUUGCUCCAUCCUUUCCAUACAUCGACCCAGUAUUGCAGUACUUCUGGGAACGGUGUACCAAUA
rfam:Myotis lucifugus cont2.16981, whole genome shotgun sequence.